CCUAGAUGAUCCUGCUUGUAGUCAUAUGCUUGUCUCAAAGAUUAAGCCAUACAUAUGUAAGUAUGAACUAAUUUAGACUGUGAAACUGUGAACGGUUCAUUAAAUUAGUUAUAGUUUGUUUGAUGGUAUCUAUUAGUCAAAUAACCAUAGUAAUUCUAGAGCUAAAAUGUGUAACAAACCCUGACUUCUAGAAGAGAUGCAUUUAUUAGAUAAAAGGUCAAUGUGAGCUUUGCUCGUUGCUCGAUGAUUCAUGAUAACUCGAUAGGUUGCACGACCUUUGCACCAGCAGCACAUCAUUCAAAUUUCUAUCCUAUCAGCUUUCAAUGUUAGGAUAGUGGCCUACUAUAGUGGUGACGGGUUAUAAAGAAUUAAGGUUCAAUUUCAGAGAGAGAGCCUAAAAAUGGCUACCACAUCUAACGAAGAUAACAAAUGCACAAAUUACCUAAUCUUGACAUGGGGAUGGAGUGAUAAUAAAAAAUAAUACUAGGCUCUAUAAAUCUAGUACUUAGAAUGAGUAUAAUCAAAUCCCUUAAUUAGAAUCCAUUUAAGGGUAAGUCUAGCACCAGUAGCCAUAGUAAUUCCAACUCUAAUAGUGCAUACUUAAGUUGUUGUAGUUAAAAAGCUCAUAAUUAGAAUUAGGGUUAAGUUAUCUGGUCUGCCACACAAUAAGCACCAGUCUAAUCAUCCUUAUUACCGGUGAUAUGCUCUUGGCCUUAACUGGCUAGGUCAUUCCUCUAGUGCUAUAACUUUGAAAAAAUUAGAGUGCUUAAAGCAUGCUUAUGCUUGUAUACAUUAGCAUGGGACAACAUCAUAGGAUUUCAAUCAUAUGGGUUUGGCCUUUGAGAUCGAAGUAAUGAUUAACAAAAACAAUCAGGGGCAUUCUUAUUUUAUAGUUAGAGGUGAAAUUCUUAGAUUUAUGAAAGACGAACAAUUACCAAAGCAUUUACCAAGGAUGUUUUCAUUAAUCAAGAAUAAAAAUUGAGGGCUAGAAGAUGAUCAGAUACCAUCCUAGUCUCAAUCAUAAAUAAUGCUAACUAGAGAUCAGUGAAUGUUACUUUUAGGACUCCAUUGGCACUUUAUGAGAAAUCAAAGUCUUUGGGUUCCAGGGUGAGUAUGGUCAUAACCCUAAAACUUAAAGGAAUUGAUGAAAGGGCACCAUCAAGAGUAAAGCCUACAGCUUAAUUUGGCUCAACAUAAGGAAACUUACUAGAUCCAGACAUAGUAAGGAUUGACAAACUAAGAGCUUUUUCUUGAUUUUAUAGGUGGUGGUGUAUGGCUAUUCUUAGUUAGUGGAGCAAUUUGUCUGGUUAAUUCUAUUAAUGAAUGAGACCUCAACCUACUAACUAGCUAUACAGAGGUGAUCUUUUGUGGCUAGCUUCUUAGAAGGAUUAUAUCCACUUAGACCAAGAAAAUUUAAGGCAAUAACAGGUUUUUGAUGUCCUUAGAUGUUCUAGACCACAUGCGCAAUACACUAAUGUAUUCAAUGAGUCUAUAGCCUUGGUUGAUAGGCUCGAGUAAUCUUUAAAAUUUCAUCAUAACAAGGAUAAAUCAUUGCAAUUAUUGGUAUUCAAUGAGGAAUUCCUAGAAAGUAUGAUCAUCAACUCAUGUUGACUAUGUCCCUGCCCUUUACAAACACCACCCAUCACUCUUACCAAUUGAAUUAUUUGGAGAAGUGUUUGGAUAGCAACAAUGUGAAUGGUUCGCUACAUGCAACAUCAUGAGAAUUCCACUAAACCUUAUCAUUUAGAGGAAUGAGAAGUCAUAACAAGGUAUUCGUAGGUAAAACUACGAAUG
rnacentral:rRNA from 1 species